CCUACGGGAGGCUGCAGUGGGGAAUAUUGCACAAUGGGCGCAAGCCUGAUGCAGCCAUGCCGCGUGUGUGAAGAAGGCCUUCGGGUUGUAAAGCACUUUCAGCGGGGAGGAAGGCGUUAAGGUUAAUAACCUUGGCGAUUGACGUUACCCGCAGAAGAAGCACCGGCUAACUCCGUGCCAGCAGCCGCGGUAAUACGGAGGGUGCAAGCGUUAAUCGGAAUUACUGGGCGUAAAGCGCACGCAGGCGGUUUGUCAAGUCGGAUGUGAAAUCCCCGGGCUCAACCUGGGAACUGCAUUCGAAACUGGCAGGCUAGAGUCUUGUAGAGGGGGGUAGAAUUCCAGGUGUAGCGGUGAAAUGCGUAGAGAUCUGGAGGAAUACCGGUGGCGAAGGCGGCCCCCUGGACAAAGACUGACGCUCAGGUGCGAAAGCGUGGGGAGCAAACAGGAUUAGAUACCCUAGUAGUC
rnacentral:rRNA from 1 species